UUUUGUUCAUUCCAGCAACAUGUACACUAUGGUCUACACCGACAUUUUCUUUCUUUUUCAAGAAUGGAAAGCAUUGGAAAAUAAGAAUGCGGUACAUGUUGCAUCAUUAAUUAUACUGUCACAUUCAUUACCGGGUGUAUCAGUAGCAUGCCAUGACAAUGCUUUGUUGCCGUGGAAGGAAAAGAAGAUCAUCUAGCUAGGUACCUAGCUACGAGACAACUGUAUGUGUUGU
rnacentral:lncRNA from 1 species